GGGAAGGUGGCUCAGCGGUAGAGUGUUUGCCUUGCAUGCAUGAGGGCCUGGGUUUGAUUCUCAGCACCCCA
rnacentral:tRNA from 1 species